rfam:Eubacterium sp. CAG:161 genomic scaffold, scf133
UGAUAGCGUAGAAGCGAGAGGUUGCUGCACCAGAUGCAGGUUUUCCGUGGAGCGAAUGUCAAGUUAGAAAACUGGCGACAA